UCCGACUUAACGUCGGCAGUCCCUCUAGAGUGCCCAACUGAAUGCUGGCAACUAAAGGCAGGGGUUGCGCUCGUUACGGGACUUAACCCAACAUCUCACGACACGAGCUGACGACAGCCAUGCAGCACCUCGUAUACAGUCCUUGCGGACGACGACAUCUCUGCCGUCUUCCAUAUACGUUCGAGCCCAGGUAAGGUUUUUCGCGUUGCAUCGAAUUGAACCACAUGCUCCACCGCUUGUGCGGGCCCCCGUCAAUUUCUUUGAGUUUUAAUCUUGCGACCGUACUUCCCAGGCGGAUCACUUAACGCGUUAGCUUCGGCACUGAAGGGGUCAAAACCUCCAACACCAAGUGAUCAUCGUUUACAGCGUGGACUAC
rnacentral:misc_RNA from 1 species